CUCUUCGACCCUGUGGACUUUCGCCCACCAGGCUCUUCUGUCCAUGCAGGAUUCUCCAGGCAAGAAUACCAGAAUGGGUUGCCAUACCCUUCUCCAGGAGAUCUUCCUGACCCAGGGAUCAAGCCAGCGUCUCUUAGGUCUCCUUCAUUGGCAAGCGAGUUCUUUACCACUAGUGCCACCUGGGAAGCCCCUGACUAGGAAAAGGCACACAGUAUAUUCUGGAUCUACAGACAAAAACUGUUUUUGCUUUAAGGGAAAAUAGAAUCUUAGUCCCUUUGGUUACUUUUGCUUUUCUAUUUAUACUUUUUUUUUGAAACUUUAAUCUUAUUUUUAAAUUAACUUUUCUUUGUGUUAAGUUGCUUUUUCCAUUUCUACUUUUACAAGCAGAAAGAGAGGCCAGUCCCUGUUUGCUGAGCUGAAAAUCAGACCAUCAGCCCUGCUGUAUCCUUCUCAGCUAGUUUGCAGGAAGCCCCCCAGGUCCUGAAACUUCUCUCCACAGAAUCCUACCUCUCCUCCCCAUGAGAGGAUGAGGCAUUUCAGCCAAGAGAAGUCCACAUCUCUUACGGGCUACACCCUACUGAUCCUCUCUCCAGGGGCACCAGAAAUCAAUUUACGUCAAAACAGGAACGUUUCCGGUGGUCCGAAGAGAACACCUCAGACAUCCUUUUCUACAUCAGAAACCAGGAAUAUGCACGGAAACCCCAAAACGGA